GUGAGCCGAGAUCAUGCCAUUGCACUCCAGCCUGGGUGACAGAGUGAGACUCCAUUGCCCACUCCAAAAAAAAGCACUUAGCAGAUGGCUGGCACACAGCAAACGGUUAAUGAUAGCUAUUAUUAUUAUUCUGAAUAAGGUUAACAUUUAUCCCUUUGAGCUUCCUGCUGGGUUCACCUGAGGACAAGGCUCUGUGGAGCAGGGCGGGGGUUAGGAGUUGUUGAAGGGGGUGGGGAUAGCAAAACUUGGUUUUCUUGGGGUCUCUAGAAGUCCCGCGAUGGGCUAGUUCUGUGGGUCCGGGGGAGGCAGAAGGGAUCAGGGCUGAGAGAGGGAAGGGGCUGCCUGGGCCCAGAGGAGUUAACAGCUCCCAGGACCUGGCUCAGUAGGGCUGCCACGCUGCAGCCACAGCAACGAUUUUAGCAGAGGAGCCAGGACUGCUUCCUGAUGGACAAAACAGCUGGCUGCCCAGAGAAAACAGCUGGCCGGGCCCCAGCCUCCUGAGAACAGAGGCAGAGCCUCAGAGGAGGACAGCUGCACAUCUGGGAUCCUGGGAGAGGAGGGCAUGGCCAAAAGGGAGAGAGAGGGGGGUCUGUGGAAGUGUGUGUGGGUGUUGGGUGGACCCCCAGAAUGGGGGGGUGGAGGGCAGAUUCCUAGAGCAGAGACCAGGGUGUGCUAAGUCCAAGCAGAAUGGGCAGGGAUGCCUCCAGCUGGACUUUGAGGGUCUCAGUCUUCCCUCAAAUAGGAAAGAUGAGGGGCAGGGGAGGAUCUUGGGGACAAGCCUCUGCCCAGCCCUGGGUCCUCUUGGAACCGGGCUUGGAGCUGAAGGUGGGGAGGGUGCCCAAGCUGAGCUCCUGGAUUCCCAUCUGCCGAGCUGCACCCAGAACCAGGAGUGGGGUGCAGGCCCAUCCUCUGGCCAGGAUCCUGGGCUCCCUUGGCCACAAAGCAGGACAGGGGACCAGAGAUCCCCCAACUCAGGAGACGUGAAGCUGGCAGCUGAAUGUAAGGAGCCUAGGAACAGAGACUGCGUCUGUUUUGUGCACUUCUGUAUUCCCAGCCCCUUGCGUUGCAUCUGCACAUAGGCCGCUGGCCUAGAAAUGGCCUCAAAUGGAAGCUGCGAUCCGAUCCUGGUGGAGGUUUUGGAGCUAGGCUAGAGAUGAGGACUCCAGGGUUCAGUGUGCACUUGCUGCUCCUGCACUAGGUAAGUCCCUUCCUCUGUGGACCUCCAGCCCUCCCCUUCCAGUGGAGAUAGUGUGCACAGCCCUAGCUCCCCUCCCUGAGCCUGGGAA